UGAUCAGUCAUAUAGAAUGUUCAUCAGAGAAACGAUACAUAGCUCUCAUAAUAAUCUGUGCCUGCCUCAUUGCCGGAUUAAUUUUCAUGUUGGUCUUCAAAGAGAAAAUUCGAAAGAGCUUUUUUAGAAGAAAUGGUCAGAGAGGAAGUGAUAAUGAAACUGAGGCUUUGAUAAGGAGACGAAGUUCCAAAAUAACUUUACAAAGGGUUUCUGGACCGGAAGUAGAAUGUAUUAUUGAGAAUGUUGCCAGUGUAACAGACCUUAAAGAAGCACUGGUGAAAAGUUGCAUGUACCAAAAAGGCAUGAUAACUAUAGUUAAAAAUCGCCAUAUUCUUCCAGACAAUAAAGGAAUUCGAAUUACAAAAACCUCAGGGCAACAGAAAGAUUAUGUGUGUGUGUAGACGCGAGGAAAAAAUAGACGAAAAUUCUGAUGACGAAAAUGACAUAAAAUUACCGGAAGAAAGAGACCAAAUAAAAAUCAUGAUAGGUAAUGCAAGCAGAAAAGUUCAAAGAAAAUAUUUCAGUAAAUGCGCCGAAGAUGUCAUAUCAAACAGCAAUACAAAUUAUAUUUGUGUGAAAAUGAGCUGUUCACAUUCUGCAGAACCUUACGGAUUGUAUGAGUACACAAAGAUGAAAGUUACAGAAAUGUGUAUGGAAAUUAAAUGUCCAUCAUGUUGUAUGGUCUGGAAUUAUGAAGAAUUGAAAGAGAAGUGUGAUAUUUCAAGAGAUGAAGAACAGUUUUACCGAUAUUAUCUAGAAAACAAAGAAACAAUGA